UGCAGUCGAGCGAUGGAUUAAGAGCUUGCUCUUAUGAAGUUAGCGGCGGACGGGUGAGUAACACGUGGGUAACCUACCCAUAAGACUGGGAUAACUCCGGGAAACCGGGGCUAAUACCGGAUAAUAUUUUGAACUGCAUAGUUCGAAAUUGAAAGGCGGCUUCGGCUGUCACUUAUGGAUGGACCCGCGUCGCAUUAGCUAGUUGGUGAGGUAACGGCUCACCAAGGCGACGAUGCGUAGCCGACCUGAGAGGGUGAUCGGCCACACUGGGACUGAGACACGGCCCAGACUCCUACGGGAGGCAGCAGUAGGGAAUCUUCCGCAAUGGACGAAAGUCUGACGGAGCAACGCCGCGUGAGUGAUGAAGGCUUUCGGGUCGUAAAACUCUGUUGUUAGGGAAGAACAAGUGCUAGUUGAAUAAGCUGGCACCUUGACGGUACCUAACCAGAAAGCCACGGCUAACUACGUGCCAGCAGCCGCGGUAAUACGUAGGUGGCAAGCGUUAUCCGGAAUUAUUGGGCGUAAAGCGCGCGCAGGUGGUUUCUUAAGUCUGAUGUGAAAGCCCACGGCUCAACCGUGGAGGGUCAUUGGAAACUGGGAGACUUGAGUGCAGAAGAGGAAAGUGGAAUUCCAUGUGUAGCGGUGAAAUGCGUAGAGAUAUGGAGGAACACCAGUGGCGAAGGCGACUUUCUGGUCUGUAACUGACACUGAGGCGCGAAAGCGU
rnacentral:rRNA from 2 species